AGAGAGAGACAUGCGCGCAUAUCAAUAAGCGGAGGAAAAGAAACUAACAAGGAUUCCCUUAGUAGCGGCGAGUGAAGCGGGAAGAGCUCAAAUUUGAAAUCUUCAAGGUUUUACCUUGACGAAUUGUAGUUUAAAGAAGUGUUUUCUGCUGAAGUUUUGGUAAAAGUUCUUUGGAAUAGGACAUCAUAGAGGGUGAGAAUCCCGUAUUUGACCAUUAUUUUCAGCCUUUGUGAUACACUUUCAAAGAGUCGGAUUGUUUGGGAAUGCAGUCCAAAAUGGGUGGUAAAUUUCAUCUAAAGCUAAAUAUUGGCGAGAGACCGAUAGCGAACAAGUACCGUGAGGGAAAGAUGAAAAGAACUUUGAAAAGAGAGUUAAACAGUACGUGAAAUUGUCAAAAGGGAAGCGUUUGACACCAGUGUUGUUUUCUCGAAAAUCAAUUAAAAAUGGCUCGAUUUUGUAUUGCUGAGACCUUAAAAGCUCACUGUACAUUUUUCGUGUCUUUCUUAAUGCACUUUUCGUUUAACAAGUCAACAUCAGUUUCUUUUGUUGUAAAAGGGUCAUUGGAAGGUGGCUUUCUUUUCGGAGAAAGUGUUUAUAGCCUUUGGCCUCUGCAAUCGGAGAGACUGAGGUCUGCAGCGUAGACUCUUCGGGGUUAGAUACAUUUGUGCUGAGUUAUAGCUUUUUAUAGACAACUUGUUGACUAUAACUAGUCUUGUAGCUUACUCGCUUAUGCUAUUUUACCUACGCUUAGGAUGUUGAAGAUGUAGCACAUCA
rnacentral:rRNA from 1 species